rnacentral:tRNA from 1 species
AGGGGUAUGAUGUAAUGGUAACAUAGCGGUCUCCAAAACCGUUCUUCUGAGUUCGAGUCUUAGUACCCCUGCCA